AUUGAACGCUAGCGGCAGGCCUUACACAUGCAAGUCGAGCGAGCGGCGGACGGGGGAGUAAUGUCUGGGAAACUGCCUGAUGUAGGGGGAUAACUACUGGAAACGGUAGCUAAUACCGCAUACCAUCAGAUGUGCGCAGAUGGGAUUAGCUCGUGGGUGGGGGAAUGGCUCACCUAGGCGACGAGCCCUAGCUGGUCUGAGAGGAUGACCAGCCACACUGGAACUGAGACACGGUCCAGACUCCUACGGGAGGCAGCAGUGGGGAAUAUUGCACAAUGGGCGAAAGCCUGAGACAGCCAUGCCGCGUGUGUGAAGAAGGCCUUCGGGUUGUAAAGCACUUUCGGCGGGGAGGCGUUACCCGCAGAAGAAGCACCGGCUAACUCCGUGCCAGCAGCCGCGGUAAUUC
rnacentral:rRNA from 1 species